AACGAACGCUGGCGGCAUGCCUAACACAUGCAAGUCGAACGAGACCUUCGGGUCUAGUGGCGCACGGGUGCGUAACGCGUGGGAAUCUGCCCCUUGGUUCGGAAUAACUUCGGGAAACUGAAGCUAAUACCGGAUAAUGACGUAAGUCCAAAGAUUUAUCGCCAAGGGAUGAGCCCGCGUAGGAUUAGCUAGUUGGUGGGGUAAAGGCUCACCAAGGCGACGAUCCUUAGCUGGUCUGAGAGGAUGAUCAGCCACACUGGGACUGAGACACGGCCCAGACUCCUACGGGAGGCAGCAGUGGGGAAUAUUGGACAAUGGGCGAAAGCCUGAUCCAGCAAUGCCCGCGUGAGUGAUGAAGGCCUUAGGGUUGUAAAGCUCUUUUACCCGGGAAGAUAAUGACUGUACCGGGAGAAUAAGCCCGGCUAACUCCGUGCCAGCAGCCGCGGUAAU
rnacentral:rRNA from 1 species